rnacentral:rRNA from 1 species
AACUACGGCCAUGCCACCCUGAACAAGCCCGAUCCUGUCUGAUCUCGGAAGCUAAGCAGGGUCAGGCCUGGUUAGUACUUGGAUAGGAGACCACCUAGGAAAACCAGGGGCUGUAGGCA